rnacentral:rRNA from 1 species
CAGUCGCCACGGUAAAACGUAGGGUGCAAGCGUUAAUCGGAAUUACUGGGCGUAAAGCGUGCGCAGGCGGUGUUGUAAGACUGAUGUGAAAUCCCCGGGCUCAACCUGGGAACUGCAUUGGUGACUGCAACGCUGGAGUGCGGCAGAGGGGGAUGGAAUUCCGCGUGUAGCAGUGAAAUGCGUAGAUAUGCGGAGGAACACCGAUGGCGAAGGCAAUCCCCUGGGCCUGCACUGACGCUCAUGCACGAAAGCGUGGGGAGCAAACAGGAUUAGAUACCCCCGUAGUCCCUGUCUCUUAUAC